rnacentral:misc_RNA from 1 species
GAUGAAGAACGCAGCGAAUUGCGAUAAGUAAUGUGAAUUGCAGAUUUUCAGUGAAUCAUCGAAUCUUUGAACGCACCUUGCGCCCUUUGGCCAUUCCGAAGGGCAUGCCUGUUUGAGUAUCAUGAACACCUCAACUCUUCAUGGUUUUCCAUGAUGAGCUUGGACUUUGGGGGUCUUGCUGGCCUGUGGGUCGGCUCCUCUCAAAUGAAUCAGCUUGCCGGUUUUUGGUGGGCAUCACAGGUGUGAUAACUAUCUACGCUUGUGGUUUUCCACCAGGGUAACCUUCAGCAGUGGAGGUUCACUGGAGCUUACAAAUGUCUCUCCUCUGUGAGGACAGCCCUUUGAAUGUUUGAUCUCAAAUCAGGUAGGACUACCCGCUGAACUUAAGCAUAUCAAUAAGCGGAGGA